ACCCUGAUCUAGCGAUGCCGCGUGUGUGACGAAGGCCUUAGGGUCGUAAAGCACUUUCGCCAGAGAUGAUAAUGACAGUAUCUGGUAAAGAAACCCCGGCUAACUCCGUGCCAGCAGCCGCGGUAAUACGGAGGGGGUUAGCGUUGUUCGGAAUUACUGGGCGUAAAGCGUACGUAGGCGGAUUAGUAAGUUAGAGGUGAAAUCCCAGGGCUCAACCCUGGAACUGCCUUUAAUACUGCUAGUCUAGAGUUCGAGAGAGGUGAGUGGAAUUCCAAGUGUAGAGGUGAAAUUCGUAGAUAUUUGGAGGAACACCAGUGGCGAAGGCGGCUCACUGGCUCGAUACUGACGCUGAGGUACGAAAGUGUGGGGAGCAAACAGGAUUAGAUACCCUGGUAGUCCACACCGUAAACGAUGAAUGCCAGUCGUCGGGUAGUAUACUAUUCGGUGACACACCUAACGGAGUAAGCAUUCCGCCUGGGGAGUACGGUCGCAAGAUUAAAACUCA
rnacentral:rRNA from 1 species